rnacentral:rRNA from 1 species
GACGAACGCUGGCGGCGUGCUUAACACAUGCAAGUCGAACGGAAAGGCCCUGCUUGCAGGGUACUCGAGUGGCGAACGGGUGAGUAACACGUGGGUGAUCUGCCCUGCACUUCGGGAUAAGCCUGGGAAACUGGGUCUAAUACCGGAUAGGAGCCAUUUUUAGUGUGAUGGUUGGAAAGUUUUUUCGGUGUAGGAUGAGCUCGCGGCCUAUCAGCUUGUUGGUGGGGUAAUGGCCUACCAAGGCGGCGACGGGUAGCCGGCCUGAGAGGGUGGACGGCCACAUUGGGACUGAGAUACGGCCCAGACUCCUACGGGAGGCAGAAGUGGGGAAUAUUGCACAAUGGGCGCAAGCCUGAUGCAGCGACGCCGCGUGGGGGAUGACGGCCUUCGGGUUGUAAACUCGUUUCGCUAGGGACGAAGCUUUUUGUGACGGUACCUAGAUAAGAAGCACCGGCUAACUACGUG